CGGGGCGUAGCGCAGUUGGUAGCGUGCGCGGUUCGGGACCGCGAGGUCGCUGGUUCAAGUCCAGUCGCCCCGACCA
rnacentral:tRNA from 1 species